GACGAACGCUGGCGGCGUGCUUAACACAUGCAAGUCGAACGGAAAGGCCCUGCUUUUGUGUGGUGCUCGCGUGGCGAACGGGUGAGUAACACGUGAGUAACCUGCCCUUGACUUUGGGAUAACUUCAGGAAACUGGGGCUAAUACCGGAUAGGAGCUCCUGCUGCAUGGUGGGGGUUGGACAGUUUCGGCGGUGGGGGAUGGACUCGCGGCUUAUCAGCUUGUUGGUGGGGUAGUGGCUUACCAAGGCUUUGACGGGUAGCCGGCCUGAGAGGGUGACCGGCCACAUUGGGACUGAGAUACGGCCCAGACUCCUACGGGAGGCAGCAGUGGGGAAUAUUGCACAAUGGGCGGAAGCCUGAUGCAGCAACGCCGCGUGCGGGAUGACGGCCUUCGGGUUGUAAACCGCUUUCGCCUGUGACGAAGCGUGAGUGACGGUAAUGGGUAAAGAAGCACCGGCUAACUACGUG
rnacentral:rRNA from 1 species